rnacentral:misc_RNA from 1 species
GAUGAAGAACGUAGUGAAAUGCGAUAAGUAGUGUGAAUUGCAGAAUCCAGUGAAUCAUCGAAUCUUUGAACGCACAUUGCGCCCUUUGGUAUUCCUUAGGGCAUGCCUGUUCGAGCGUCAUUUAAACCUUCAAGCUAAGCUUGGUGUUGGGUGACUGUCCGCUUCACGGCGGACUCGCCUCAAAAUUAUUGGCGGCCGGUACAUUGGCUUCGAGCGCAGCAGAAACGCGAACUCGGGCCCGUCGUAUUGGCUCCCAGAAGCUAUCUUCACAAUUUUGACCUCGGAUCAGGUAGGGAUACCCGCUGAACUUAAGCAUAUCAAUAAGCGGAGGA